GACGAACGCUGGCGGCGUGCUUAACCCAGGCAAGUCGAACGGAAAGGCCCUGCUUUUGUGGUGUGCUCGAUUGGCGAACGGGUGAGUAACACGUGAGUAACCUGCCCUUGACUUUGGGAUAACUUCCGGAAACUGGGGCUAAUACCGGAUAUGAGCUCCUGCUGCAUGGGGGGGGUUGGAAAGUUUCGGCGGUUGGGGAUGGACUCGCGGCUUAUCAGCUUGUUGGUGGGGUAGUGGCUUACCAAGGCUUUGACGGGUAGCCGGCCUGAGAGGGUGACCGGCCACAUUGGGACUGAGAUACGGCCCAGACUCCUACGGGAGGCAGAAGUGGGGAAUAUUGCACAAUGGGCGGAAGCCUGCUGCAGCAACGCCGCGUGCGGGAUGACGGCCUUCGGGUUGUAAACCGCUUUCGCCUGUGACGAAGCGUGAGUGACGGUAAUGGGUAAAGAAGCACCGGCUAACUACGUG
rnacentral:rRNA from 1 species